AGCAAGGUGCUUCCCAACAGCAUAUUGGAGGAGCUAAAAGCAGGAAAAUAUUCCUGAUCACCUUGCUACACUGUUGUGUUCUGCUCCAAUGCCCCUGCUGGGACCUGAAGGAGCCAUGCAGCCCAUCUGCUUCGGUCCCUGGAAAGAGAUGGGAAGCAAGGAGGAAGAAUGAGGUCUCUGUUGCUCUGGGAAGCCUGUGCCUGCUGCCCUGCACAGCUGUGAAGCAUGUCACAUCCCUGAUGGGCCAGAUGCUGAAAGAUGCUGAACAUCCUUAGAAGGUCAAACUCAGAAGGCAGAAAACCCUCCUGGCUAAUUCUGAGACACAGCAGUGACGGGGCCUGCAUGACAGGAGACACCCAGGAGGCAGAGCAGCUCUGAGUCAGCCGUCUCCAGAGAAAGAUUUGUCAGUGGCUGGGCCAGUUUUCACCAGCUCCACAGCUGGUGGCAGUUUCUGCACUUCAUUCUACAAGCAUCUUGUGUGGCUGACAUGCUGCUCCCUGGAGGGGAGCCAGGGGAUGGGACCCUCCUUUCUCACUGGGGGUUGGUGCUUGUGGGCUUUAUCCAAGCACUCUGCACCACAGCACCAUUUCCACAGGAGGAAAAGGGGCCCAGCAUCGGGGGGAGCUGCAAGCCUGGGCUGGGGAAAUGUCUGAAGCAUCUUCUCUGCCACCUUCCCCAGUGCUGCCUGCCUUGGCAGGGACCCUGGCUCUGUGUGCAGCCCACAGCUCAGCACCUUAGGGCAGGCUCUGGGCAGGUAAGGACAGACUCAUUCCAGGGGAGUUACACCAGAUUUAUGUGAUUGUAAAGAGAAAGGUUGCAGCCUUAAUUAAGCUUCUGAGUCCUAGGAGGGGCUGGAAUAAAACUCUGAGAUCUGCCACAGUCUGCCUGUAUGUCAGUUGUAUAAUUCCUCCUGGUCCCAGUUCUCCUAUACAUAAAAGCUGGAGCACCUCCUGCCUUGGUUAUGAGGGAUGCAAACUUUGCAGGGCUGAGACUGCUCCUGCCAACCACCACAGCAUCCAGGAGAGUGGUGGAGCUCCAUGUGCUGCUCUCUGGGCAUCCCUUGGUGCCAUCUCUUCCAGCAGCAGAAUCCCGUGUGCUUGCUGUGUGCUGGAUGAGAGCAUCCCUCCUGGUGCAAUGGAAAGAGAGAGCCUGAGGCUCCUGCAGGCAUGAGAUGUGGCCGUGAAGGACAGCAGAGGACAUGGGGCUCCAGACAGUGCCCAUUUUAAUGUGCCUGGCCUUUUGUGUUUGCCUCUAUUCAUGUUGGGAAGGGAACUUCUGGCUCUGUAUGCAUCUUCCUGUCAGAAAAUCCUUAGGCUCUGAAUAGAUUUACUCUCCAGUCUGUGAGCUGCUUAGCACUGGGCCUGUCUGGUGGGAGGAGGUGAAUGACUCUGGAGGGCUUUAUUGGCAGGACAGUGCCCUGGAGAGGAGGCUGGCUCCUUGUUAUCAAUGGGAUCCUUCACUGGCACAGACAGCCUGGGUGAUAAGGAGCUGAACAGUGUUGGAUAGCCCACGAUUCCAAAGCUGGCUGCAAGCUUGACCCUCCUUUCUGUACCCAUGGGCAAAUCCCCGGUACCCUCUUUAUUUCUGUAAGAGUUUCCUGUCUGUAACACACAGUGAACUGUCACUCUCUCCAUGGAUGCAGUCUCCUCUUCCCUUGUGUUUCAGGCUCAGAGCUAUUUGGAUACCUAGAAAUAAGCAGGCAGGUAGGUUGUGAAAAGGACACCACCACAGAGUGCUUGCUCAGCCUGUGCUUUGUGUCACUGCAAUGAUGGUGCAGACAAUUCCUCAGCUCCCGGGCUGGAUUCCCCCGGGGCUGUUGGGCUGUUGUUAAUGCUGCUUUCCCAGCUCUUCCACUGAGCUGUCUCUGCCUGCUGCACUCAUAUAAUCAGGAGCUGUAAAACCACUGACAACUCCAGAGACCAGAAUGGAGAUUACAUGCAACAUUAAAAUUAAAAACGGGCCAGAGUCACAAAGUUGUCUUCAUUAGGCAGCUCUGUUUUCUUUGUGGCUUUUACUGCCAAAUAAAUAACCUUUCAGGUGAGUUAGUUAAGCUGCCCUCAGGAGCAAGACAAGAUGGGUGAGGAGAGGCAGUUCAGCACAUCCUCUGAGAUUCCUGCCACAAAUCAGCCAGUCUGGAAACAGCAGAACUGGUGUCAAACCAGGAUGAAAACCUUAAAAUCCCACCAACACUCAAUGCAGAAUGACACAGAACAGUCCCCUGCCCUGAGCCAAUGCAGAGCUGGCUUCAGCUCUGACACUGAAUUCAGACAUUGGAGGCUCUGCCUCCCUCACAGCCACUCUUUGUCACCUGCAUUCAUUUGGUUCCUCAGGUUUUUUCCUCUCCCUUUGUGCCAGGCUUCUAGCAGAAGACUUUCCUUUCCUGAGGAAAGCAUUAGGGGGAGGCAGCACUAUGGGUACUUAAGGGCAAUUUUAAAAGGCCGAACAUGUUUGCCCCAGAAUAUUCCAGGAUUUUCUAUGGAGAAAGUCCACCGGUCAUACACUCACCAGAUGUCAGUGCUUGUGGGUUGUGCUCCACAUGGAUUGCUGAUAGAAACUGCAAUGCAUGAAUGGCUUGGUUUGACUCUGCAUCAGAACCAGAUGAAAUCUUGUCUUUGCUUUGUUUCCUCUUUGCACUUCUAGACUUUCAAACCACAGGCUUGAAGGGCACAGUUGUUCCCCCAGGGAUCAAAAAGUCUCUUGAAAAGCAGUGCAAAAUCACAGCAGUGAUGCUGCUGACACUGCAGACAGAGGAGAGGCAGGGGAAAGGUGCUAAAAUUCUCUCUUGCUUCUUUCCUGGUCUGGGCUAGGGUCCUGUCUCCCUGAUUACUCCUUGAGUCCCGGCCAGAAUCAUGGCAAACAGCAAUCCAGCCCUCCCACACCUGCCACUGUGUCAGAAAAGCUCCUCAGUACUAACGAGGGGAGAUGAGACACACUAGGUAAGGUCAGGUAUUCUCUGAUUAUUUGCUUCCUCAUCAUAAAACUGCUUUAAUGAAACUGAAAUUCUUUGCAGGAAACGCUCCCAUAAAUAAGUCAAUUUUUACAAGAAACAUGACAGCAAACAUUUCUGUAGGAAAGAAUGAAAGAUACUGGUGAAUCAUCCCAUUUCAACACUUCUAAAAUGGCAAAAAAGUGCCACUUUAUAUUUUGUUCAGAAAAGAAAGUUAACUGAUACUGAAAAAAAAAAAAAA
ensembl:lncRNA